ACCAAUAGGCUUUUUCAAUAAUUCUUGACAAGUUCUAUAGUUCCCGGUCUCGUUCUAAGGGUUGCUUUGGGAACCAGCGGUGGGUAACGGAGAACCUCUGGUUGCCAAGCCACACGUUCGUGUUCAUUUUUAGCUCGGCUACGACGGGAUUCGCAUUGUUGACGAGGCGCUGAUUACAAAAUCCUACUUCCUGACUCGCCGCUACGACUUAGCGCCAUGCUUUUGGUAUCAGCUAAAACCGUAGCGUUGUGCAUCUCCUUACUCAUCUGUGGUAUUUUAUCUGACAUAUUUAUGCCAUAACCUAGAAAAGUCAUAUUAGUAUCAUACUCCAAAUUUUGUGAUUCAUUCACAAUCUGUCAUAAUAAAUUUGUUCAUCUAUUUGUGCACAAGACUGCUAUAUAUUUUUAAAGCAACAAAAUAGGGGAACUUAUUAAAUUUCUAUAGGAAAAUUCAUAUAUUUUACUACAGAGUAAUUUUAUAAGGAGGGAAGAAAAUGGUAUGUGUGCCAUGCAUGAUAGUACCUGUACUUCUUCUUAUAUGGAGAUUUCUCAUACAACCAUUUAUAAUGAAGUUAUGGAAUUCCGGGCGAAACGGAAAAGGUGAUAAUGAACAAGGUGGACCACCAGAGCUAGUCCAGGAAUGUAAAGAUGGAGUGUGUACUUUA